rnacentral:rRNA from 1 species
AGCGAACGCUGGCGGCAGGCCUAAUACAUGCAAGUCGAACGGCUCUUCGGAGCAGUGGCGGACGGGUGAGUAACGCGUGGGAACGUGCCCUUUGGUACGGAACAACUGAGGGAAACUUCAGCUAAUACCGUAUGUGCCCUUCGGGGGAAAGAUUUAUCGCCAUUGGAGCGGCCCGCGUUGGAUUAGGUAGUUGGUGGGGUAAAGGCCUACCAAGCCUACGAUCCAUAGCUGGUCUGAGAGGAUGAUCAGCCACACUGGGACUGAGACACGGCCCAGACUCCUACGGGAGGCAGCAGUAGGGAAUCUUGCGCAAUGGGCGAAAGCCUGACGCAGCCAUGCCGCGUGUAUGAUGAAGGUCUUAGGAUUGUAAAAUACUUUCACCGGGGAAGAUAAUGACGGUACCCGGAGAAGAAGCCCCGGCUAACUUCGUG